UACGGAGGUGCGAGCGUUGUCCGGAAUCACUGGGCGUAAAGGGCGCGUAGGUGGCGCGGCAGUCAACGGUGAAAGUUCGGGCUCAACCCUGAACUGGCCGUCGAUACUCCCGGGCUGGAGCACUGUAGAGGCUAAGUGGAAUUCCGGGUGUAGCGGUGAAAUGCGUAGAGAUCGGAAAGAACACCAACGGCGAAAGACUCUGCUGG
rnacentral:rRNA from 1 species